rnacentral:rRNA from 1 species
UUUAAAUUUAGAGUUUGAUCCUGGCUCAGGACGAACGCUGGCGGCGUGCUUAACACAUGCAAGUCGAGCGAUGAAGCUUCCUUCGGGGAGUGGAUUAGCGGCGGACGGGUGAGUAACACGUGGGUAACCUGCCUCAAAGUGGGGGAUAGCCUUCCGAAAGGAAGAUUAAUACCGCAUAAUAUAAGAGAAUCGCAUGAUUUUCUUAUCAAAGAUUUAUUGCUUUGAGAUGGACCCGCGGCGCAUUAGCUAGUUGGUAAGGUAACGGCUUACCAAGGCAACGAUGCGUAGCCGACCUGAGAGGGUGAUCGGCCACAUUGGAACUGAGACACGGUCCAGACUCCUACGGGAGGCAGCAGUGGGGAAUAUUGCGCAAUGGGGGAAACCCUGACGCAGCAACGCCGCGUGGGUGAUGAAGGUCUUCGGAUUGUAAAGCCCUGUUUUCUAGGACGAUAAUGACGGUACUAGAGGAGGAAGCCACGGCUAACUACGUGCCAGCAGCCGCGGUAAUACGUAGGUGGCGAGCGUUGUCCGGAUUUACUGGGCGUAAAGGGUGCGUAGGCGGAUGUUUAAGUGGGAUGUGAAAUCCCCGGGCUUAACCUGGGGGCUGCAUUCCAAACUGGAUAUCUAGAGUGCAGGAGAGGAAAGCGGAAUUCCUAGUGUAGCGGUGAAAUGCGUAGAGAUUAGGAAGAACACCAGUGGCGAAGGCGGCUUUCUGGACUGUAACUGACGCUGAGGCACGAAAGCGUGGGUAGCAAACAGGAUUAGAUACCCUGGUAGUCCACGCCGUAAACGAUGGAUACUAGGUGUAGGGGGUAUCAACUCCCCCUGUGCCGCAGUUAACACAAUAAGUAUCCCGCCUGGGGAGUACGGUCGCAAGAUUAAAACUCAAAGGAAUUGACGGGGGC